GCCCCGAUAGCUCAACUGGAAAGAGCAACGGCCUUCUAAGCCGUAGGUUGUGGGUUCGAGUCCCGCUCGGGGCGCCA
rnacentral:tRNA from 1 species